rnacentral:rRNA from 1 species
CUCGUUGGUGACCAGCGGAGGGUCAUUACCGAGUUUACAACUCCCAAACCCCUGUGAACAUACCACUUGUUGCCUCGGCGGAUCAGCCCGCUCCCGGUAAAACGGGACGGCCCGCCAGAGGACCCCUAAACUCUGUUUCUAUAUGUAACUUCUGAGUAAAACCAUAAAUAAAUCAAAACUUUCAACAACGGAUCUCUUGGUUCUGGCAUCGAUGAAGAACGCAGCAAAAUGCGAUAAGUAAUGUGAAUUGCAGAAUUCAGUGAAUCAUCGAAUCUUUGAACGCACAUUGCGCCCGCCAGUAUUCUGGCGGGCAUGCCUGUUCGAGCGUCAUUUCAACCCUCAAGCACAGCUUGGUGUUGGGACUCGCGUUAAUUCGCGUUCCUCAAAUUGAUUGGCGGUCACGUCGAGCUUCCAUAGCGUAGUAGUAAAACCCUCGUUACUGGUAAUCGUCGCGGCCACGCCGUUAAACCCCAACUUCUGAAUGUUGACCUCGGAUCAGGUAGGAAUACCCGCUGAACUUAAGCAUAUCAAUAAGCGGAGGAAAAGAAACCAACAGGGAUUGCCCUAGUAACGGCGAGUGAAGCGGCAACAGCUCAAAUUUGAAAUCUGGCUCUCGGGCCCGAGUUGUAAUUUGUAGAGGAUACUUUUGAUGCGGUGCCUUCCGAGUUCCCUGGAACGGGACGCCAUAGAGGGUGAGAGCCCCGUCUGGUUGGAUGCCAAAUCUCUGUAAAGUUCCUUCAACGAGUCGAGUAGUUUGGGAAUGCUGCUCUAAAUGGGAGGUAUAUGUCUUCUAAAGCUAAAUACCGGCCAGAGACCGAUAGCGCACAAGUAGAGUGAUCGAAAGAUGAAAAGCACUUUGAAAAGAGAGUUAAAAAGUACGUGAAAUUGUUGAAAGGGAAGCGUUUAUGACCAGACUUGGGCUUGGUUAAUCAUCUGGGGUUCUCCCCAGUGCACUUUUCCAGUCCAGGCCAGCAUCAGUUUUCCCCGGGGGAUAAAGGCGGCGGGAAUGUGGCUCUCUUCGGGGAGUGUUAUAGCCCACCGUGUAAUACCCUGGGGGGGACUGAGGUUCGCGCAUCUGCAAGGAUGCUGC